AUGAAUUAGAAAGAAAGAGAUCAGGUUAUUUAUGAUCGGAGAAAAGGAAGGGGCGUGGUUGAUGUGUCACUGGGAACCCGUAGGAAGGGGAGACGACCGGCCUCAUUCACAUCAGAAAUCGCCAACAUGAACACAAACGAAAUCGUCGAAUUUCGUAUAGAAAAAAAAGGAAACAAGUAA
rnacentral:rRNA from 1 species